CAGGGCUGGUAAAUUCCAUCUGAAAAAUAAGAGCUGAGCGCUCUGCUGAGUCAUAGAAGAACCCUGGGAGCGGAUUGCCCGCGCGGGCCUGAGUCCCGGCCGAGCCAGAGGGAUCCACGGUCAGGAGGCAGCAGAGGUGAGCGAGAAAAUGUAGCCGCAGUAAGGCGCUACCUGCUGGAGCCUGGUGUGGACAGCCCAGCCGAGACGCGCGGCCCACUCCGGGCACCCCUUGGGCCACCCUCACCAUGUCCAAGAAGGGCACGGGCGGCCGAGGCAAGGGGGACAAGGCGGAGCUCCUCGCUGCUCUGCAGGCCGCCAACGAGGAGCUGCGGGCCAAGCUCACUGACAUCCAGAUCGAGCUGCAGCAGGAGAAGAGCAAGGUCAGCCGGGUGGAGAGGGAGAAGAACCAGGAGCUGAGGCAGGUGCGGGAGCACGAGCAGCACAAGAACGCCGUGCUGCUCACCGAGCUCAAGACGAAGCUGCACGAGGAGAAGAUGAAGGAGCUGCAGGCCGUGCGUGAGGCCCUGCUGCGGCAUCACGAGGCCGAGCUGCUGAGGGUCAUCAAGAUCAAGGACAACGAGAACCAGCGGCUGCAGGCCCUGCUGCACAGCCUGCGGGACGGCGCCCCCGACAAGGCCAAGGUCGUGCUGCUGUCCGAGGCGAAGGAGGAGGCCAAGAAGGGCUUCGAGGCGGAGAAGAUAAAAAUGCAGCAGGAGAUCUCGGAGCUCAAGGGGGCCAAGAGGCAGGUGGAGGAGGCGCUGACCAUCGCGGUCCAGGCCGACAAAAUCAAGGCCGCGGAAAUCAGGAGCGUGUAUCACCUCCACCAGGAGGAGAUCUCCCGCAUCAAGAAGGAGUGCGAGCGGGAGAUCCGCAGGCUGAUGGAGGAGAUAAAAUUUAAAGACAGAGCAGUCUUCGUGCUGGAGAGAGAGUUAGGGGUUCAAGCCGGGCAUGCUCAGAGACUGCAGCUCCAAAAAGAGGCUCUAGAUGAGCAGCUGUCCCAGGUCAAAGAGGCUGAUCGGCACCUGGGCAGCCCCAGACGGGAACUUCCUUAUGCAGGCGGUGCAGGAGACGCCUCAGACCACUCGGGAAGCCCUGAACAGCAGUUGGAUGAAAAGGAUGCUCGGCGCUUCCAACUUAAAAUUGCAGAGCUGAGUGCGAUCAUUCGGAAGCUGGAGGACCGAAAUGCCUUGCUGUCGGAAGAAAGGAAUGAGCUGUUAAAGCGCUUAAGGGAAGCUGAGAGUCAGUACAAGCCAUUGCUGGAUAAAAACAAACGCCUCACUCGGAAAAAUGAAGAUCUGUCCCAUACUUUACGUCGGAUGGAAAACAAGUUAAAAUUUGUCACGCAGGAGAACAUAGAAAUGAGACAAAGGGCCGGGAUCAUCAGGAGACCCAGCUCCUUAAACGACCUGGAUCAAAGUCAAGACGAGAGAGAAGUUGACUUCUUGAAACUUCAAAUUGUGGAGCAGCAGAACCUCAUAGACGAGCUUUCUAAGACCCUGGAAACCGCUGGCUACGUGAAGAGUGUGCUAGAGCGAGAUAAGCUUUUAAGAUUUCGGAAGCAAAGAAAGAAAAUGGCCAAACUCCCCAAGAAGCCGGUUGUGGUGGAGACCUUCUUUGGAUAUGACGAAGAGGCUUCUCUGGAAUCCGAUGGCUCCUCCAUCUCUUAUCAGACAGACAGGACGGACCAGACUCCAUGUACCCCCGACGAUGACCUGGAGGAGGGCGUGGCCAAGGAGGAGACCGAGCUGAGGUUCCGGCAGCUGACCAUGGAGUACCAGGCUCUUCAGCGAGCCUACGCCUUGCUGCAGGAGCAGGUCGGAGGGACGCUGGAUGCAGAGCGAGAAGUUAAGACCCGCGAGCAGCUGCAAGCAGAGGUGCAGAGAGCCCAGACGCGGAUAGAAGACCUGGAGCAGACCCUGGCCGAGCAGGGGCAGGACAUGAAGUGGAUUGAAGAGAAGCAAGCGCUGUAUCGAAGGAACCAAGAGCUUGUGGAGAAGAUUAAACAAAUGGAAAUAGAAGAGGGUCGGUUAAAACACGAGGUCCAGGAUGCGAGGGACCAAAACGAGCUGCUGGAGUUCCGGAUCCUGGAACUCGAGGAGAGGGAGAGGAAGUCUCCGGCCAUCAACUUCCACCACACCCCCUUCGCAGACGGGAAGAGCCCCCUCCAGGCCUACUGUGAAGCUGAAGGAGUGACGGACAUCCUGGUCACGGAGCUGAUGAAGCAGCUGGACAUCCUGGGGGAUAACGCCGUAAGUAAUCUGACCAAUGAGGAGCAAGUGGUCGUCAUACAAGCUAGGACAGUCCUAACCUUGGCUGAAAAGUGGCUCCAGCAGAUCGAAGAGACAGAGUCGGCCCUGCAUCGGAAGAUGGUUGACCUGGAGAGUGAGAAGGAGCUGUUCAGUAAGCAGAAGGGCUACCUGGAUGAAGAGCUGGAUUAUAGGAAGCAGUCCUUGGACCAGGCUCACAAGCACAUCCUGGAGCUGGAGGCCAUGCUGUACGACGCCCUGCAGCAGGAGGCCGGGGCCAAAGUGGCCGAGAUCCUGUCGGAGGAGGAGCGCGAGAAGCUCAAGGUGGCUGUGGAGCAGUGGAAGCGCCAGGUCAUGAGCGAGCUGCGGGAGCGGGAUGCCCAGAUCCUACGGGAGCGCAUGGAGCUGCUGCAGCUGGCACAGCAGAGAAUUAAAGAGUUAGAAGAAAGAAUAGAAGGUCAGAAGAGGCAAAUAAAGGAACUGGAGGAAAAGUCUCCAGAGGAGCCAGACCCCUUUCCUCCAGCUGGACCAGAGAGCAGUGGGUGCCUGGGCGGCAAAACAAGAUGCCCCAUCCGGUCCCUGAAGCCCCAAGAGGAUCUGGUCUCUGGGGACCCCAUCCCGUCGAGGAAGAGGGAGAAAGGGGGGCUUUGAGCACCACUGAGCGGGCAACUGUCCACUCUGAUGAGCCAGAAUUAGAACUAGUUUUUGACUGGGGCUCCUCUGGAAGAGACCUGGUCUUGGCUGCUGGACCCUGGGGUCCCUCCUUGGGACGCAGCCUCCUGAUCCCGGUGACAGGGAUGCACAAGUUCCCUGCUGAGCAGGUGCAAAGAGCUGCUUCUGUGCGGGAGCAUCCAUAGCCCUACACUCCCACCUCAUGGCCCCUCAAUCGCGCAACACACAUCUCGGAUGAACCGAUCAGGAAGAACACAGGCAGCCCACAAAAGGACACAGUGAAGCCUGUGACCACAGAGGUGAUCCUCAUUCAGGGAAGCCCAGAUGGGUCGUGGGGGAUGUCCCGAGGACGGCUUCCCCGACCCCUCAGGUGGCCCGUGAGGACUCGCCCACUUGGGGUCCUGCGCACCUCUGGCCGGCACACCCUUGCCUGGUUUUAAGAUGCUGUUGCCUUGGGCGCUAGUGUGGGGGGCCGCACGCACCGUGACAUCAACCUCGCCUUCUAGGCCACCCUGAACCACACGGAGGAACACAGUGGGAGUGAGCCGAGACUGAGGAGCAUGACAGUGGGAGGUGGGACGAGAGAGCGCCCCGACCCCCACUGGAGAGGGGCCUGGCUUUCCUGGAAUGCAGAGACCAGGCACUGCAGACGCCCUGGGCACCUGGAGCAGCCCCUCACCCCCUGCCCGGAGGCCGUGCGCUGCAGGCGAGCUGAAUGGGGCUGGAGCUGCCCAGUGCAGGGCUCCGGCCUUUGCCCUCAAGGGCAGUGCCCAUUUGAGGGCAGCCACACACCUGUGGUCCUGCAGAUACGAGAAGGGAGCCCGAUGUCCAGGUGGCGAGCAGAGAGGACACAGCACAUCGAUGAAGCCCGUUUUAAGCCUGACUUCCCUUCCUGCUGAGUGCUCUGGCCCACAGCCCAGGAACGUCUUCCAGAUACAGCCCGACUCCUGGGUUGGAGGAGGCUCUUCCAUCGACUCCACACCCUUGAGGGUGCAAAGUGUGUGUGUGUGUGCGCGUGUGUGCGUGCAUGUGCGUGAGUCUCUGUGUAUGCAGUCAUGCAUGCUCAACCAGGAGACAAGAUUUUAGCUCUUUUGAGGCACCUGGAGGUUGAUGUGCUGGGUGGUGACACCUGCAGCCAGGUGAGAAUGUAACAAACAACACAGCAUGAAAGGAAAGCAAGCUGCGUUUCUCAGGGGCAGAAAGGAGGGGCGACUGUGUCUGCAAGUGUCAGGUUCAUUUUAUAUUUGCAUCAGAAGGUGUGUUCAACUCUGGUGCACACGGCUGUCACCAGACCAGGCUUGAUGCCCUAGGUUGAAAUCGGAGAAAGCUUACAGGAUCAGACAGAUAUGCUUCUCUCUAGCAGGUGCGGGAUUUCUGCUGGGCACUGUUAACCCGCACUCGUCCAGGAAGGACCCAUCCUUUCUGUGGUCGUGAAAACCACAGUUACUCACUUGGACAAGAUACAGGGUGAGUCCACUCCUCCAGCUGAGGCUGCUGCUGGGGUUUGCAGACCGAGUCUGAAAUCUUGUUUCAUCCUCCGUGCAUAGUUUUGUGUCAUUCCAAUGACUCCAUCCUCUCGGCACUCGUUGUGCUCAGAACUGAAUGUCAAACAAUAGUCUUGAGCUAAUCAAAGCCACCGCAGAGCUAUGGAUGAACUCCCAGACUGGAGCUGGGUAGAGUGUAUGAGGCAGGCGUCCAGGAAGUCCGCAUGGGGAGGCACAUGCUGCCGCCCCAGUGGUUACUGGCCAGGAGUAGCAGCCGAGCGGGCUGGCCGUUCAGGAGCUAAUGAUGUGCACUCGAAACCCAAAUUCACAUCGCCUGUGUUCAUUUGGAUCAUCGUGAUUUUGCAUGUUGUACAUCUGUGUGGAGCACGUCAUAGGCUGUCCACCACAUGCCAGACAGUCUUAUCACAGCUCUGUAAUCUGGAAAUGGGCAAACUCUGCAGGGCAGAGAAGCAUGUAGAUCUGGACCAGUGCUUACUAAGUUGUUGCUUAAAUGUAAAAGUACAUAGUGGAAAUGGCUCAGUGAAUGUUUUAAAUAAUAUUCCACGUACCAAACUGUGUUUGUACCAUUGCCAUGUUCCCAAAAGCCCACAUGGAGCUGCAAUGCCCGCCCUUGUCUGCAGAGAUCCCUGUUUCUAUUCAUGUAUCCGAGGCACCUUCUUUUCAUCUGAUCACAAAAUCUAGCAUUUUGGGACUGGGCUUUUGCCAAAAAAAAAAAAAAAAAGGAAAGAAAAAAAGGAAAAAGCGAUUAGGUGCAUUUGUCACUGAUUCCUGCUAGUCCAGUGAGCAUCUGAAGAAUUCAGGUGUUUUAAAAUUACAUGCUUUUUCUAAAUCCUAGAGUAUACCUUUCAUGCUAAACCAGUGGGCUGCACUGAAUUUCCUGAAAGUACCUGGGCUCUGUUACUGCAACUCCUCAAACAGGGGAUGCUGUGUGUCAAUGCCACUCUCUCUCAUGGAACAAGAGGACGGACCAGAAGUUGCCAGAAAGGUUUAUUGUGUAACCAAGAUGUGGACAUGUGUUAUCAACACAAUCACACUGUGUCCACAAUACCCAGAACAACACAGAUGUUUUUGUUUGUCUACAUUAGAAAUCCAUGUAAAUUGCAGCUCCCUGGUUGACACGGAUGUGUGAGUGUGUGCACCUCGUUUCCACGUGUCCACGGUCUGUCCAGCUGCUGAAGGACUGUGGCUCUUCCUUAAAGUGUUCAGCUCUUGCAGAACCCGUAGCCUUCAGGACACCCUGCGUGCCUUACACGGCUUGUCAAUACCGCAUUGGAUGUCAGGAAGGAAGGUGUGCCGGGAGUGGGUUUGGAGGCAUGGAGACAUCAAUCCACAUGGACCAUCACCCCAUCACUGAAACCUUAAGAUGGAUUGUGUGUUUUAACACAGUAACGGAUUUACAUUUAGGCUCAGGAAAACCAAGUUGUAAAUAUAUGUAUCAAAUCAUAUAUUUGUUUACUGUAUUUUAAAGAGCUUUAUUGUAAAUUUAUGCAACAAUGAAUUAGGACUUGUUUUACCAUGGCAAUAGCCAGCCAGUAUCUGUGUUCUCUGAAGCAGCUCCUUACUAACCACAUUCUAAACAUGUGAUAUUCUGUUCAGUGCUAAACAGUAUUCACAGGCCUAAAAUAGGUUUGUAUGGUGGUCAACUACAAAAUUUUGCACAUAUUUUUGUAUUGUGAUUCCUAUGAUACAUACCAGAGGAUUUUUACUCAUUUGUAAAUUAUUGUACAGUUUUAAU